rnacentral:miRNA from 1 species
CUCUAGAGGAAAGCGCUUACUG